UAUCAUGAGGGCAACUACAAAAUGGAAACAAUGUGUUUUGAAAAGGCUGAAGAUGCUUAUUGGGAAAGAAGAUCCAAGGCCUCUGGUCUUAGAGCUUUUGCAGAACAGAUCCACAAUGCAAAGCCUGUGGAAGCAAAGGCAAUCCUUAGAGAAGCAGCUGAAAUAUUUGAAGCAAUUGGGAAGGCUGAUACUGCUGCCCAAUGCUUUUUCGAUAUAGGGGAGUUUGAAAGGGGAGGGGCAAUUUUUGAGGAGAAAUGUGGGCAGCUAGAGAGCAGGAGAGUGUUUUCUUCUAGCAAAGUGCUACAACCGUGCUGCUGAUUUAUUUGCCAGGGCAAAUUGUUGUUCUGCGUGCUUGAAUACUUGCUCUAAAGGAAAAUUGUUUGACGUUGGUUUGCAUUACAUUUUAUCCUGGAAACAAGAUGCCGGACUCGAACACCAUGCAUCCAGAAGUAAGGAAAUAGAGGACCUUGAACAAGAAUUCGUACAAAAAUGUGCUCUUCAUUUUCACAACUGCGGGGACAGUAGAUCCAUGAUGAAAUCUGUUAAAAGUUUUCGAUCCGUAGAUUUGAUGCGUAACUUCUUGAAGUCCUUGAAUUGCCUCGAUGAGCUUCUUGUGUUGGAAGAAGAGCUGGGAAAUUUUUUGGAAGCUGUAAAGAUUGCAGAGUCAAAAGCUGAUCUGGUUCAUGUGGCUGAUCUUCAUGGCAAGGCAGGAAAUUUUAGUGAGGCAUCCACGCUUCUUGUACGCUACGUCCUUGCCAACUCUCUUUGGUCACCAGGAAGCAAAGGAUGGCCCUUGAAAAAUUUUGAAGGAAAGAAGGAUCUUUUGAAAAAGGCCAGGUUUUUAGCGGAAAAUGACUCUAACGAAUUAUACGACUGCAUUUGUAUAGAGGCUGAUAUUUUGUCUGAUGAAAAUGGAAACAUGGGAGCUCUGACAGGAUGUCUAACUGCUUCUAGGAACCACGACAGUGUUCGUGGAGAAAUGAUAUGUGUUAGAAAGAUUCUGGAUGCCCAUAUGCAUUUGAACAAAUCAAAAUACACUUGGGAAGGUGAAUUGGUUUCUGAUCUGACCAAGCAUCCAGAAGAAAUGGUUUCAAAGAAUCAGGUGUCCGUUGAAACUUUGGUUUACUUUUGGCAUUGCUGGAAGGAUAGAAUUUUGAAUGUUCUCGAGAGUCUUAGGUGUGUUGGUGUGAAUGAUGCGGACCCUUACGGCGAGUUCUGUUUAAAUUUCUUUGGUGUUUGGAGACUGAACAACAGACACGUAUUGCUCAACUCUGAUGCUGAUUGGGCCAAAAAAGUUGAUGAAAGGUUCGUUCAUAGGAACGGUAAAUCGGUGUCCAUUGAUGUUACCCAAUUUUCAUCAUCUGCCAGGAACUAUUGGAGCUUAGAACUGUUUUCUUCUGGACUCGAGGUUUUAGAAAAUCUAGAUCACCUUUAUAAAUUCUCCAACCGUAUCGGUUUCUUGACAUUCAGCCGGUGUAGGCUUCUCACUCACAUGUUUGAGGUUGCAAAACUCCUUCUAGAUAGCCCAUAUUUGGAACAUAGAUACCAUGAUAAACAGAAGUUAGAGAGAUUCUGUAAGUGGCAAUAUCGGAAAUCCAAAGUCAUUUAUUUCCACCAGAUUGUGUAGUUUCUUUGAAGGAGAGUGUGAUAUCUCUACGAGUUACUGGGGUUUAUCGUAAUAUGAUGAAUGAAAUUGUGGCCGAGGAGGUUAGCUUACAGAAUCAACUAACUUAUGGCCGAGUUGGAAGGGUUGCAAUGCUUAUUCUUGGAUCUGGCAAACUCGAUAAGAAGUUGUGUGAACAAAUAGCAGAAUGGUCAAAGGAGAAUCCUCCUUGGAGUGCAUUCAUUCAAGAGCUUUGCAACAGUAGGAGUGCAGAGAAUGAAGCAAGGAGGAACCCCGCAAAAGAGAUAUCUCGUGUGGAGGUUUCAUGAAGCUCUGAGGGACACGUACAAUACGAACUGGGUCCACAUGCGGGAUUAUAUUUCGCCUUUCUGUUUCAUGUACCUGGUCGAAAGGCUUCUGAUUAUGGUAUCAUUCAUGAAAGGGGGAUACCUUAUCACUACAAAUUCCUCUUUUGUUGAAUGGCUCAUCUUCCAUGAAGGAAAUUCCGAUAUAAUUUCCAUGUUGGGAGCUCAAACACAACAUUCUUUUCAACCGACGCUUUUGUUUUUGGCUCAAAUUCAUCAGGAACUUCUUUUCGACAGGAGAGCAACAAUGGAGUGGUUGAGGAAGACACAUACAAACUUGAACUGCUAUCCGAUACUGGUAAGGAGGUUGGUGGUUGUCACAUGUUUGCUUCAUCUGAACUUUGGCAUUUGCUUCGAUGUACUCCGCAAUCUGCUUGGUCGCAACUUUUCAUCUGAACUUUGGCAUUUACCCACGGAAUUUUGCAAUGGGCUUAAGGGAAACAAAAGUUUUUAUGUACCAACUGAUAACUUAAAUAUGAUUGCCGGAUUCGUCAAGGGAAUUGGAAACCCAAUGGUUAUUGUGAGUUUGGAUGGAAAUUUCCCACAACUCACUUAGAGAGAUGCAACUACUAUCAACUUGAAUGUCAGUCGUUGUAUGGAUGAUGUACUGAAGGCUUUAUUCCCAAAGGAAGUUGAAAGUUCGCAAGGUCGAGCCGAAGCUCCCAAAGGGCAAGAUGUUGGUAUAACAACCAGCAAAAUGGUAGCAUCGAAAGUGGGAUGCAUGGCUAUUCCAUCCUCUUCUAGCUUGGCUUUGGAUGAAAACAAGAGGAUGAAAUCUAAUAAUAGUGAAAAUGAUGGAUAUUCACCCAAGUCUGUUGGUUUUUGGGAAAUGUUUGAAGCAUUGAGAAUGUUGGAGAAUGAAAUGGAGGAGAAGAGCAAUCUGUCAAACGCCUUUCAAAUCAAGAUGGAUGUGGAGAGAUGGGUUACGCAUUUAAGUGCCGCAAGAAGCAAAGCGGAUGAGGAGAUUCGUUUUGAAGUAGUGGAUGGGUUGGUUAUGGAAUUAAAUUUACUAUCUACUGCUUUAAGCAUGAGCGAUCCCAUGAAAAUCUAUCCCAAGUGGUAUCAAUAUCAAAGAGCGUAUAUUCGAGGAGGAUGGAGUUGGAGCCUAUGUUGAGCAAACUACUACUACUACUACACGAUGAUCUUGACGUGGAAGUGGAUCAGAGGUGGAUAGAUGAUCAGAUUGUAAAGGAGGAAAAGCUGAGGCUGUUUUGGAUAAGAAAGGGAAAGGGAAAGGGAAAGGGAGUGGGAAUGGGAAGGGGAAAGGGAAAGGGAAGUCAAAGAACAACAAGAGGGGAAAGGGUCGAAGGAGUUAAAUGAUAAUGCAUGGCUAUUCCUAACGUGGGGGAAGUAUUUAGUUGAGUUGCUGUGAUAACUGAUCUAAUUAACUUAUUGAAUAUAUUCAA